rnacentral:rRNA from 1 species
GAUGAACGCUAGCUACAGGCUUAACACAUUCAAGUCGAGGGGAAACGACAUCGAAAGCUUGCUUUUGAUGGGCUUCGACCGGCGCACGGGUGAGUAACGCGUAUCCAACCUGCCCACCACUUGGGGAUAACCUUUCGAAAGUAAGACUAAUACCCAAUGAUAUCUCUAGAAGACAUCUGAACGAGAUUAAAGAUUUAUCGGUGAUGGUUGGGUAUGCGUCUGAUUAGCUUGUUGGCGGGGUAACGGCCCACCAAGGCGACGAUCAGUAGGGGGUCUGAGAUGAAGGUCCCCCACAUUGGAACUGAGACACGGUCCAAACUCCUACGGGAGGCAGCAGUGAGGAAUAUUGGUCAAUGGGCGAGAGCCUGAACCAGCCAAGUAGCGUGCAGGAUGACGGCCCUAUGGGUUGUAAACUGCUUUUAUAAGGGAAUAAAGUGAGCCGCGUGAGGCUUUUUGCAUGUACCUUAUGAAUAAGGACCGGCUAAUUCCGUGCCAGCAGCCGCCGUAA